ensembl:miRNA MIR592 microRNA 592
UGAUAUUAUGCCAUGACAUUGUGUCAAUAUGCGAUGAUGUGUUGUGAUGGCACAGCGUCAUCACGUGGUGACGCAACAUCAUGACGUAAGACGUCACAACGCCAGUUAA